rnacentral:rRNA from 1 species
UACAGAGGUGGCGAGCGUUGUUCGGAUUUACUGGGCGUAAAGGGUGCGUAGGCGGUCUCGUGUGUUGGAUGUGAAAUCCCAUGGCUCAACCAUGGAAAUGCAUCCAAAACUGCGGGACUAGAGUACAGAAGAGGAGAGUGGAAUUCUUGGUGUAGCGGUGAAAUGCGCAGAUAUCAAGAGGAACACCGGUGGCGAAGGCGGCUCUCUGGAAUGAUACUGACGCUGAGGCACGAAAGCCGGGGGAGCAAAAAGG